GGGGGUUGUAGCUCAGUGGUAGAGCAUGUGCUUCCCAUGUACGAGGUCCCCGGUUCGAACCCCGGUACCUCCA